CAGUCGCCACGGUAAUACGAAGGGGGCUAGCGUUGCUCGGAAUUACUGGGCGUAAAGGGCGCGUAGGCGGACAGUUCAGUCGGGGGUGAAAGCCCGGGGCUCAACCUCGGAAUUGCCUUCGAUACUGGCUGUCUUGAGUAUGAGAGAGGUGUGUGGAACUCCGAGUGUAGAGGUGAAAUUCGUAGAUAUUCGGAAGAACACCAGUGGCGAAGGCGACACACUGGCUCAUUACUGACGCUGAGGCGCGAAAGCGUGGGGAGCAAACAGGAUUAGAUACCCCUGUAGUCCCUGUCUCUUAUAC
rnacentral:rRNA from 1 species